rnacentral:rRNA from 1 species
UACGAAGGGGGCGAGCGUUGUUCGGAAUCACUGGGCGUAAAGGGUGCGUAGGCGGCGCGGUAAGUCGGGUGUGAAAUCUCGGGGCUUAACUCCGAAACUGCAUUCGAUACUGCCGUGCUUGAGGACUGGAGAGGAGACUGGAAUUUACGGUGUAGCGGUGAAAUGCGUAGAUAUCGUAAGGAAGACCAGUGGCGAAGGCGGGUCUCUGGACAGUUCCUGACGCUGAGGCACGAAGGUUAGGGGAGCAAACGGG